AUACGGAGGGGGCUAGCGUUAUUCGGAAUUACUGGGCGUAAAGAGUUCGUAGGCGGACUGGAAAGUUAGAGGUGAAAGCCCAGGGCUCAACCCUGGAACGGCCUUUAAAACUUCCAGUCUAGAGACAGAUAGAGGUAAGGGGAAUACUUAGUGUAGAGGUGAAAUUCGUAGAUAUUAAGUGGAACACCAGUGGCGAAGGCGCCUUACUGGAUCUGUACUGACGCUGAGGCACGAAAGCGUGGGGAGCGAACAGGAUUAGAAACCCCAGUAGUCC
rnacentral:rRNA from 1 species